GACAGAGGUCCCGAGCGUUAGACGGAAUCACUGGGCUUAAAGCGUGUGUAGGCGGAAGGGUAAGUACCUUGUGAAAUCCCACGGCUCAACCGUGGAACUGCUUGGUAUACUGCUUUUCUUGAGCCACUUAGGGGCAACCGGAACAAAUGGUGGAGCGGUGAAAUGACGUAGAUAUCAUUUGGAACGCCAAUGGUGAAAAACAGGUUGCUGGGAGUGUGCUGACGCUGAGACACGAAAGCCAGGGGGAGCAAACGGGG
rnacentral:rRNA from 1 species